rnacentral:rRNA from 1 species
GACAGAGGGUGCAAACGUUGUUCGGAAUUACUGGGCGUAAAGCGUGCGCAGGCGGUUGUGCAAGACAGAUGUGAAAUCCCCGGGCUUAACCUGGGAAUUGCAUUUGUGACUGUACGGCUAGAGUGCGGCAGAGGGGGAUGGAAUUCCGCGUGUAGCAGUGAAAUGCGUAGAUAUGCGGAGGAACACCGAUGGCGAAGGCAAUCCCCUGGGCCUGCACUGACGCUCAUGCACGAAAGCGUGGGGAGCAAGCAGG